rnacentral:rRNA from 1 species
UGGGGAAUUUUGGACAAUGGGCGAAAGCCUGAUCCAGCAAUGCCGCGUGUGUGAAGAAGGCCUUCGGGUUGUAAAGCACUUUUGUCCGGAAAGAAAUCCUUGGCUCUAAUACAGUCGGGGGAUGACGGUACCGGAAGAAUAAGCACCGGCUAACUACGUGCCAGCAGCCGCGGUAAUACGUAGGGUGCAAGCGUUAAUCGGAAUUACUGGGCGUAAAGCGUGCGCAGGCGGUUUGCUAAGACCGAUGUGAAAUCCCCGGGCUCAACCUGGGAACUGCAUUGGUGACUGGCAGGCUAGAGUAUGGCAGAGGGGGUAGAAUUCCACGUGUAGCAGUGAAAUGCGUAGAGAUGUGGAGGAAUACCGAUGGCGAAGGCAGCCCCCUGGGCCAAUACUGACGCUCAUGCACGAAAGCGUGGGGAGCAAACAGGAUUAGAUACCCUGGUAGUCCACGCCCUAAACGAUGUCAACUAGUUGUGGGAUUCAUUCCUUAGUAACGUAGCUAACGCGUGAAGUUGACCGCCU